AGUGAACGCUGGCGGUAGGCCUAACACAUGCAAGUCGAACGGCAGCACAGUAAGAGCUUGCUCUUACGGGUGGCGAGUGGCGGACGGGUGAGGAAUACAUCGGAAUCUACUUUUUCGUGGGGGAUAUCGUAGGGAAACUUGCGCUAAUACCGCAUACGACCUACGGGUGAAAGCAGGGGAUCUUCGGACCUUGCGCGAUUGAAUGAGCCGAUGUCGGAUUAGCUAGUUGGCGGGGUAAAGGCCCACCAAGGCGACGAUCCGUAGCUGGUCUGAGAGGAUGAUCAGCCACACUGGAACUGAGACACGGUCCAGACUCCUACGGGAGGCAGCAGUGGGGAAUAUUGGACAAUGGGCGCAAGCCUGAUCCAGCCAUACCGCGUGGGUGAAGAAGGCCUUCGGGUUGUAAAGCCCUUUUGUUGGGAAAGAAAAGCAGCAGGUUAAUACCCCGCUGUUCUGACGGUACCCAAAGAAUAAGCACCGGCUAACUUCGUG
rnacentral:rRNA from 1 species